ACACGAGACCAGGCGGUGAGGCCUGAAGGACACGGCUCCAGCCCGGCCUCUGUCCCAUCCUGACCUCGCCUGCACUCUAGUGGCCUCCCCCCAACCGGUCAGCUCUCCCCACUCUCCGAGACCCCGGACUCCGGAACAGAGACAGCUUCCAGUGGGGGCGCGGGGUCAGGCUCCCCCCAGUCUGGCUGGCGUCUUCCCGACUUAUGGUCGGUCUCCCUCUCUCCUCGCCACCCUGCAGGUCUCCAUGUGGAGCUCCGUCACCCACUCGCCAAGCCCCUCCCCAGCCCCACAGGCGGGCAAACCCCGUCCCUGUACCACAACCCCCCCACCCCAGGUCCGUGCUGUCCAGGCUGCCCGGGAGGAGUCUCGUCAGGACGAGCUUGUCUCCCCGCCCCUGGCCAGGAGGCGCGGAGGGGCCCCCCUCUUUUCUCAGGUAACACCUAGCCCGGCAGAAAAACCGAACCGGAGCCUUCCGAAUCAGCGUGCCAGCGCCGUGUGAGCCGUGUCCCGGGGCAUCUCCUUUCGUGUCUGAGAUGCCCAGAGCGCCCAGUCACUGCGUGGGAGGACGCCAAGAUGGACAGACAGACACAGACGGGUGGACGUCAGGCCGGCAGGCCCGGCCCAGGCCAGACCCAGGGUCCCUCCGGGGCCCCCGCAGACAGUGGAGGAGGCCCCCGAGUCCACGUACCUUCUUCUGCUCCCUCCCGGGGUGCCCCUUCUUUUUUGACUUCGGAGCCAUCUCUGCAGAGGAAAAAAGAAGGUGGGACCGUGCCUGACAGAGCCCCUCCCGCCAAGCUGCACACCGCUGGCGCCUUUAAAGGCCGAGACACGGGCCGGCGCCCAGCGCCUCCCCUAC